rnacentral:lncRNA from 1 species
UCCCGGGGGGUCCGGCCCGGCCGAGCCUCGGUGUCCGGCCCCGCGGGGGAGGGGCGCGGCCUGCGGAGCGGGAUCGGGGCCGGGUCUGGGGCCCCUCCCGGCGGCCUUCGAGCCCUGCCGCCCGGCUCCGCGCCGCCCGGAGCCCCUCGGCAGUCCCGUCACGUCUCCUCCAGAUUAGGCAUUAACUCGGGUGCAGCCGCACUUCCGGGGGGCCGCGGCGGGGGAGGGGCGCCUGCGGGAUCCAGACCCGCCCCCCACUCUCCUCUCCCCGCCCCCUCCCGGGCCGCCCCUUUCCCGCCCCACGGCCGCGCCGGGCGCUGCGUCCCGGGGCUUUGUUCGCGGCGGCGCGGGUCGCCGGCCUCCGGGCGGGCCGGGGGAGGG